rnacentral:lncRNA from 1 species
UUUUUUGGUUCUUUUACAGUGAUUAUGUUUUACAAUUUAACCUUUUCCUUUUACUAGUAGUUUCUAUUCUACAUGUACUCCUUUAGUGAUUGAGGUAGAAAUUUAAAUAUACACAUUUUAUUGAUUUUUUUUCUUUUCCAAUUCUUUCAUUCCAUUCCUUUUUCUUGUCAAAGAUCUCUCCCACUGGGUGAACAGAAGUGCUGACAACAGAUAUCUUUGCCUUCUUCCUGAGUUUAAAGAAAACUUUUCCAAAUUUUUAGCUUAGAAUGGUAUUUGUUGUUGGCUUUUGUAGAUACAUUUUAUUAGGACAACAGAGCCCCUUUCUAUUCUUAGUUUGCUUGAAGAAUUUUAAAAAUAAUAAACGAAGGUAAAAUAUUAUCAAACAUUUUCUUCAUUUAAUGAGACGAUCAUAUCCUUUUCUCCAUUAGUCUGUUAAUAAGGGUGAACUACAUUUUAUAUUUUCUAAUGUUAAAUCCUUUGUUUACAUAAUAAACCCACAUGGUCAUGAUUGAUGAUUUUUAUAUAGUGUUGGACUUAGUUUAAAAUAUUUUUAUUACAAUUUAAUUCCUUAUUUAAUACUUAAAGAAUCUUAUGGUAUGUUUGUGAAUGAGAAGUGCCUUAAUCUGCAGAAAGUUCUCAUUUUCUUCUAGGUUUAGAAGGCAUUAAAAAUAAUCUUUGGUGCACUUUUCCACAUCUAGUUGUACUGCUACAGACACGCUUCAAAACUUAAGUUACCUACACUUCCAGAAGCAAAACUCAUCAGGGAGGUUUGUGUUUUUUAAAUUCUGUUUUUUCUGUUCUUCCUACAAAGUUCAUGACAGAGCAAUUAAUGUUAUAAAACUGUAAAGUAAAAGUCCAACAUUAUUAUUUGAUAAAAAGAAAGAUUCCAUUCAGUAUACCAUACUUUCAGAAGUGGAGACAAAAAAAAUCCCAAAUUUCCUAAGGUUCUUUUUUAAAGGGGCUGGGUUUGGGAAGUUGAGGUCAAGUCUAUGUUUAAAAGGUCUCAAAGCAGUGAAAUUUACUACAAAAAGAAAACGUUAUCAAUUAAAUCUAGACUUCUUUUUUUCCCCUUGUUGCUCUGAUUCCCUCUGAGAAACUGCCCAAGAGGAUCCAUCGUUUUGGGGUAGAACUAGGACCCAUCUGGAUGUCUGUGGAGACCUAAUCUGCUCCUUUGAAAAAAUCCUUGGUGCAAGUUUGACUAAAUGACAUAUGGUAUCUUCUGGCUUAAAAAAAAAAAAAAAAAAAAGGAAUACUCUCUAAGGAAAGCCGUCAAGAUGAGGAAUGAAUGUGGCCAAUUUGGAGGGCUGAUUGUCAAAAGGGAUUUCACUUUAUCAUUGCUAUAUAGUUUCUGGAGAACUUUCUGUGCACUGGCUUCUGUGGCAGUGCCUACUCUCACAUUAUCAUCUCUAACCUGCCCAAUAAUGUAAGAGACAACUGACAUUGUUUUCUGUUUCAAGGGUAAAUAACAGUGGGUUACAGAAGUCAUGCCCCUUGCCCCUAACAACCCCAACUGGAGGUAUAUGACCGUGGACCUAAUAUCAGGCAUUUUGUCUCCAAAGAUGAAGUUGUUUAUUUCUCAGAAGGAUUAUUAGGGUAAAAACUUUGCAAGCUCUAGCUCUAUUUUACAUAUCAAGUUGAGCCCCCAUUAUAAAUAUGUUGCGCCAGUUAGUCAAAUGCAGAUAUAGUCUCUUCUGUUACGGAAUGAAGUCAGAAAAGCAAGGCUGUAACACUGUUUCAUAAACAAUUUUCUAACAUUUUCCUCGGCAAGAAACAGUGGCUGACCAUAUUUGCAUACAGUACUGUUCAUGACACCCAAUCCUAUCAUCCUAUCCUUUCCAACUCAGGGUGGCCACACUCUGUCCUGAGAAGGGACCCUUUACUUCUCCCAUGCACUGCGCUUCAGUUUGUCUCUUUUCAUAGUUGAACAGCCACAAGACUGCCUUCUCCCUCUUCUAUCAAGGUGUCUUCCUUUCGUCUUCAACACCAAGUCCUAUAUCUACUAUAAUAUUUAUUUAUUAAAUUGGAAUUUAACAUGCCUUUUCACCUGAGCUGUGUUUUUACUAGAUUUUUUAAAAAAAUUGUUAAUAGUGAUUGGUUGCAAAGUUGCAAAAGUUGUGACUGGUCUGUCUCAAGACUGCUUCCCGCCAUAAACUCAGCUAUUUCCAAUAUGUGGUUUUACAGACUGUGGGUAUUUUCAAGGCCCAUAUAUAUCAUAUUAGAACAGAAAUUCCAUAUUGCUUGGCUAUAAUUUAUUUGCCAUAUAAUUAUUGGCUCUAAUAAUUUUAUUAAACACUAGAAUUUUUUAUGACUGUAUUGGCUACUGAGUUACCUAUAAAUAGAAUAAAUUAAACAUUUCCUAAUAAUGUAGAGAUGGUUUAAAUGAAUUAAUUGGUGAAACACAAGCUAAUGAUAGGCUCUUUCCAACCAUUUUCUAGCACUUAAUAAACAAUUUCACUCCAAUCCUGAGAGCUUUACUUCAUCAAGUAUUAGUGAAACAUGAUGAAUGUAUGCAAACUGGAAAAAUAGUUUUUCAUUUCUGACUUGGGAAUAGGAGAUUUUAUGGUGGGGAUGUAGACAGGUGAUAAAAUCACACUAAUUUCUUAAUCCCUUUGAACUGUUUCCCUUAUGAAAAUUGAGAAUUUACAUUUGGUCUAACUUUUUAGUUGUUCGAGAGUACAUGCUUAAUAUAUUGAUUUCUAGUCUCUUAUAAAGAAGACACAAUCAUAAUUAAUUAGAAAUUCUGAUGAACUUGGAGAGUUUUAAUCAGAAACUUCAAUAAGUAUUCAGAGGAUAUAACCUAGUGUUUGAGUUCCCAGUGCUCAUGAUGAAAUUUCUGGCAGUUUUCAUGCUUAAUUGGGCCAAUGGAUCCUGUCUGUGUGAGGAGAGGAAACAAGGUCUUGCUUGUUUGGCAUUUACAAUGAUUUGAUUAAUGAUUACCUGGAAGCAUUAACAUUAGCAUCAUUGCAAUACCACCAGUAUUUCCUGUUCUUCUUGUGCUAAUAUUUAUUUUGCAAGAUGCAAAACUGACCUUUAAAUCUGUCACAUAAUUUAUUUAUCCUAUGAGGCUAUAUUGUUCUUGCUUAUGAGUUAGGGAGCCUUGCCUAAAUAUAACCUUACCUACUUGAGAGCUGUUUACUUGGUUUAGCAAAGUUGAUAGUUGAUCAGAAACACAAGCAGAUAGAACCAGAAAGAGACUUCACACAAGAUAGAAUUUUCUCAAACCUAAAUUUUGAAAUUACUUUACUUUCAAUAUGGGCUUAAACUUUUUUUUUUACAUUUGAUUUUGAAUUUAUACAUUUGUCUACCUCAGGAUUUUGCCCUCUAGCCUUAAUUUUCUCAGUCUCAUUCUUGUCACCUUCUUCUCAAGAUGAUUUCAUACACUUUCAUCCACUCACUGAUGACCCUCAAAUCAAGACCUCCUGUGCAUCUCUCUCUCUCUACUCAGUUAUAGGAGAAACACACCUGCAUAUCCUCUUGACUCCUCCUCCCUCCCAUGCUUAUCCUAUGAAUCAUCAAGUAUAAUGGAGAGUUGACCCUUGAGCAAUGGAGAGGGUGGCAUGCUGACCCUCUGUACAGUGGAAAGUCUCAAGAGGAGUUUAUAGUUGGCCAUCUGUAUCCAUGGCUCUGCAUCCACAGAUUCAACCAGCUGCAGAUGCUGUAGCACUAUAGUAUUAUGUGUUGAAAAAAUCCACAUAUAAAUGGACCUACAUAGUUCAAAUCCAUGAUGUUCAUGGGUCAACUGUAUUCUGUUUCUACUUCACUUCAUUUCCAAUGCCAUUCCCUUGAUUCAAGUCAGCAGGUAGGGUGGGGAGAGGGCUAGAACAAUCUCAGCAGUUUCCCAACUAAUCUUUCUACAUUCAUCCAGCUCCACAUUCAUGCUUUAUGAUUCUGCCAGGAUAAUUUUUCUGGUAAUAAUGACUUGUAGUAAUGUCCUGACUCUGCUAAAAACUUAUGUUCAGUGUAAAGCCCUAAGCAUGGUAUUUAUGGAGAUGAUCUAUGCUUACUCUCCUAUUGGUGCUUGAGGAGAAUUUUAUUGAAUACCUUUUAUGUGUUAAACACUAUUCCAGAUACUGAGAAUACAAAAGUAAAUUGGUCCACAGAAUCUCUGACCGCCAAGUCUCACUGUUAGUGGAGGAAGGUAGAAAACAAACAUGAAAACGUAUUUAGUGAUUUUAGGAUUGAUAGGCACUAUGAAUAAAAUAAAAUAGGACAUUACAGAGAGUGACUUAGAAUGCUACUUUGUUGUAGACUGCUCUGCUCAGAAAGGCAUCAAAGAAAGGAUGGCAUGUGAGUGGAAUCUUGAAUAAUAAGCAGAAACAUGUGGAAACCAGAGGAAAUCCUGACAUAAAGAUUUUGGGACUGGCAUGAGCGUGACACAUUUAAGGGAUGGGGGCCAGAGGGAACAGAGCAAAAAAUGUGAGUCCUGAUAUACCACACUUUUAAGUUCAUGAUUCCGAGUUUCAAUUCUAUUCUUUUUUUUGGGGGGGGCCACACCUGCAGCAUUUGGAGGUUACCAGGCUAGGGGUUGAAACAGAGCUACAGCUUCCGGCCUAUGCCACCGCCACAGCAAUGCCAGAUCCAAGCCAUGUCUGUGACCUACACCACAGCGCAUGGCAAUACCAAAUCCUUAACCCAUCCUCAACCGCAUGGUUCCUAGUCAGAUUUGUUUCCUCUGUGCCAUGACAAGAACACCUCAAUUUUAUUCUUCAUGCAGUGUGAAAUCACUGGAGGGUUUUAGGCAGAGAGAGUGGUGACCUGAUUUACAACACUAAAAACUUCCCUCAUCUAUAUGCUGAAAACUAUAUGACAUUGAUGAAAAAAUUGAAGACAAUGCAAAUAUAUGAAAAUACACAUGAUGACUUAAUAUUGUUAGAAUAUCAAUACUACUCAAAGUUAUCUCUAGAUUCAGUGGAAUCCCUAUCAAAAUUUCAAUGCAUUUUUCACAGAAAUGGAAAAAAAUCCUAAUAUUUGUAUGGAAACAUAAAGACCCCAAAUAGUCAAAGCCAUCUUGAAAAAGAAGAACAAAGCUGAAGAUCUCAUGCUUCCUGAUUUUAAACUAUAUUACAAAGCUGUAGUAAUCAAAAUAGUAUGGUACUGGCAUAGAAACAGACACAUCAAUAGAAAAGACUCAAGAGCCCAGAAAUAAACCCACACAUAUAUGGUCAACUAACAUUUGACAAGGGAGCCAAGAUACUCAGUGGGAAAGGACAGUCUCUUCAAUAAAUGGUGUUGGGAAAAUUUAGACAACCACAUCCACAAGAAUGAAACUGAGCCCCUAUCAUAUAUCAUGUAGAAAAAUUAACUCAAAAUGGAUUAGGGACUUAAACAUAAGACCUAAAACCAUAAAAAACUUCUAAAAGAAAACACAGGGGGAAAGCUCCUAGACAUCAAUCCUGGUAAUGAUUUUUAGAUAUGACACCUAAAGCAAAAGCCACAAAACCAAAAAUCAACAAGUAGGACUAUAUCAAGGUAAAAAUCUUCUGAAUAGUACAAGAAACCAUCAACAAAAUGAAAAAACAACCUACAGAAAAUAUUUGCAAACCAUAUAUCUGAUAAGAGGUUAAAAAUCAGAAAUGUAUAAUGCACUCAUACAGCACAACAGCAAAAAAAAAAAACCAAAAAACAAAAAAAAAAAGAAAAAAAUCUGAUUUAAAAAGUGUGGAGGACUUAACUAGAUCUCUAAUAGAUUUUCCAGAGAGGAUAUACAGAUGAUCAAAGGGUACAUGAAAAGAUGUUCAACAUCACCAAUCAUCAGGGAAAUACAAAUCAAAAAGUCAAAACCACAAUGAGAUCACCUUACACCUGUUAAAACGGCUAUCAUAAAAGACAAGAGAUAAGAAGUGUUGGUGAAGAUGUGAAAAAAUAAAAUCAUUUUGCCCUGUUGGUGGGAAUAUAAAUUGGUACAGCCACUUUGGGAAAAGUCUGGAGGUCUCCCCAAAAAACAAAAGAUAGAAUUAGCACUUGAUUCAACAAUCUCACUUCUGGGUUUAUAUCUGAAGGAGAUGAAAUCACUAUUUUGAAGAGCUAUCUACACUCCCAUAUUCACUGCAGCAUUAUUAUCAAUACCUAAGAUGUGGACACAACAAAGUAUUCAGUGACAGACAAAUGGAUAAAGAGAAUGUGAUACAUAAUAUAUACAUGACAUGUAUAUAUGUUUAUGUCUGUGUAUAUAUAAUAUAUAAUGAUAUAUAUAUACACAUAUAUAUUAAAUACCAGAAUAUACAUGAUGGAAUAUUAUUUGGCCACAAAAAAGAAAAACCUGCCAUUUACUACAACAUGGAUAGACCUUGAGCAUUAUGCUAAAUGAAAUGCAUUGAACAAAGACAAAUACUAUACGAUCUCAUAUGUGAAAUCUAAAACACCAAACUCAUAGAAACAGAAUAGAAUGGUGACUGUUGGGCUUAAAGGGGUGAGGGAAAUGAGGAGAUGUUAGUCAAAGGUAUAAACUUUUGAUAAUAAGGUGAAUACCUCCUGGGGAUCUGAGAGCAUGGUAGUUAACAAUACUGUAAUGUACACUUGACAGCUGCUGUGAGAUUUAGAGCUUUAAUGUUCUCACCUUAAUGAUAGUGAAAUGGUAAUUAUGUGAAGAAUGUGUUAACUCACAUAAUGUGGUAAACACUUCACAAUAUACAUUUGUAUCAAACAAUCAUAUUGUACACUUUAAACUUACUCUGAGUUAUACGGCAAUUAUAUCUCUAUAAAACUGGGGGGGGGGGGAAGUCUUUAAAAAGUUCCCUUCAGUGUUUUUCACUUCCUUGUCUCUCAUACUGUGCUAUAGCCAUGGUGAACUACUUUUGUCCUCACAAGAUUCUAAGACCCUUUCUCCAGGGCAUUGUGCACAUGUUUCUUCUGCCUGGAAUAUCUUCCUCAACACCUCCUUUUCUAUUUCCUCCUUCCAGCUUCCACCUGCCCUUUGGACCCCUCCAUGCAAAUAUCGUUGCCUAGAGGAAGUCUCUUCUCCAUCCCAGACUGAGACACACAUCCCUCCUUCAUGCUUUCAAGAUUCAGCAUCACAGGAGUUGUUCUAGCACAUUGAGAUGCUUAGCUAUCUACCUCUCUUACUGCAUCAUCUGCUUCUUGAAAACACACAUUGCCUGGUCGAUCCCUGUUUAUCCUGUACCAGCACAGAGCCCUGAUGUAGAACAGGCAUUCAAAACAUUUUCUGAAUGAAUAAAAUAGCUUUUUAAAGGAAUAGUAGCUAUUGAGUGCUUACAGGUAGAGAUGGCUUUAUGGAAACAAGCAUCAAAGUAGGUAUGCUUAAAAAUUUUCAAAGAAAAUAAACAGAAUAUGCUCCAAACUCCUUGUGAAUGUCCUGGCAGCUCUUUGUCUGAUAGCACAAUUUAUUAAGUGCCUUGAUUCCGCCGGUCCAAUCUUUUGAAUGCAUUUUCAUUUUCUCAGCACACAUUUCAAAAAUGCAACUGUAUUCUCCCAUUCUUUUCUACUAUUUUUCUAAAUCAUUUUCUGGAUUGCCAGUGCUUGCUAUUUUCCUUGUUAUUUUCUUUACCUUCCUAGGCUAGUACUCCCUCUUUCCUGGUUGCAUCUCUCAUUUUGCAUCCAGCCUCUUAAGCUCAUGUACUUGCACACUCACUUCUGAGCCAUUUUGUGUUCAUCAGGCAAGACAGCAACAACCUUCUGCAUGGAGAACUCUCACCCUGCUCCUACCCCACCCCACCCCUUUGUUUACAUACAGGCUUGUAAUUCAGGUGUCAGCUAAUUACUCAUUAUUCUUGGAUUGAUAGAUUACCUAGGUCUUUGCCUUCACUCUCCCACUUCUUUCUCCAUCUUUUGCCACAACUUGUUUGUAUUCUCACUGGAUAACAUGCCAAGGUGAAGAGAGGCAGUGAAAUGCAAGCGAGUCCAUUUUGAUCAUUUUGAGCAGUUCUCAUAAGAGGAUUUGAUGGGAAACAAUAAUAAAUGAUUGGCUCAAAGGAGGAUUAUAAACUGUCCACGGAUGUCCUUUAUCCAUGCUCUUUCUGGUCACCAUUCAAUAUGGAUGUUAGAAAGAAAAUGGGCAAAAGUGGGGGAAGCAAAACUUCAAGAGAUAAAUGAAAAGAAAAGAGAGCAAGAAGUGAGAGCCAGGUCAAGAGUAGAAUGUGGCUCAACCAAAGACUGAGUGCAGGCUGCCCUGGAUUUGAAGCAGCUUCCAUAGUGUGUCCUGAUGCAAAUAGUGUGUCUGUGGAUAAACAUCCAUCUGAUGCUUUAUUUAUCUGAUCUGCUGAUUAUUGGGUACACUACAGAUUAAAAAACCAAUAGGGUUGACUGUCUGAACCAUUCCACUUUAUAAUGGUCUUUGUACAAGAAGAUAUGAGCCACUGAAGAGUCCCCAGUUCCCAAAUGCUCACACAAAUAGACCCCUGCCAUACACACACAACUAGAUGGCACAUAACUAGUGCUUUCCUAAUUCCAAAGGGACCUAGAGAUUUGAAUUUUUUCUUAAGAAAAUCUACAAGAAAAAAAAAAAAGAAUAUUGCCAUGAAAUCUUAGGCACUUCAGUAAAGCAGUAGCUAACUAUUUUCCAUGAAGAACUCAGGGGAUGGAGGGUCUCAUUCUUAAUCCCCUUACAGCAAAUGCAAAGCCAUUGCCAUCUGCAUUUAUGCAGGGUCAUUCCCGCAUUAAUGGGAUCCUCUGUGUGCAAUGUGCCCCUCAGUAUAAUAGCCCUCAUUAGCGAAUGUACAGACAUUUCUGUGAAUAUAUUAAAAGGUUUUAAAAAAUUAGCCUUUGUUUAUAAUUCGAAAACAUCAGUGAAAAUGUAUUUUAUUUCAUGGGCUUUUCUGGAUACGUUAAGAUUAACAAUGAAGUACCCCCUUCUCCCACCUCCCCAUCAAACAUCAUAGAAGUUCAAAUCCUCACAUUGUCACGCAUUGUCUUGUCCCUGUCAAAAUCCUCUUGAUGUGUUUGGUGGAA